UGUGAGUGCCAGUUUUUCUUACUUACUGGAACUGAGAAAGUGAAAACGAAGCCGGGUUUCCGGAUUUCUCUCUUCCAUCAGUAACCGAAAGGUGGACUUAUGACAGUUCUUUUUGUAAACUCCUGGCCUCAUCUGUGAGAGGUUACCCACUAAAUUUAAGC
rnacentral:misc_RNA from 1 species